rnacentral:rRNA from 1 species
GACGAACGCUGGCGGCGUGCUUAACACAUGCAAGUCGAACGGAAAGGCACUGCUUUUGUGGGGUGCCCGAGUGGCGAAGGGGUGAGUAACACGUGAGUAACCUGACCUUGACUUUGGGAUAACUUCAGGAAACUGGGGCUAAUACAGGAUAGGAGAUCCUGCUGCAUGGUGGGGGUUGGAAAGUUUCGGCGGGUGGGGAUGGACUCGCGGCUUAUGAGCUUGUUGGUGGGGGAGUGGCUUACCGAGGCUGUGACGGGUAGCCGGCCUGGGAGGGUGACCGGCGUCAAGACGACUGAGGGACGGAGCAGUCGCCAACAUUAGACAGUGGGGGGAAGUAUGGCACAAUGGGCGGAAGCCUGAGGCGGCGGCCCCGCGUGCGUAAAGACCUCCUUCUGGGUGUAAACCGCUGUCGCCUAUUACGAAGCUGUAGUGACGGUAAUGAGUGAAUAAGCACCGGCUAACUACGUG